GAUAAGAAGAAUGUAGUUAGAACAAAAAAGUACACAUUUUUGUAAUCUAGUUUCGGUGUUGAAUUUUAGAAAAAGAUGCCGUCUCCAUAUUUGGAUUUUUCUCCAAAGCAUCUACAUCUCUAGCAGCUUCAGUUCUGUGGAUGUGCAUUCAAAAGUAGUUUUGAGAGCUUGUUUGGAGGCUCUAGCAGGCGAGCGUGGCUACUCCUAUGCCCUUGACCUAAGAUUGGUCCUCCUCUAUCAGGGAUGGUCAUCUUCUUCCACUGAGCGCACAGCUUCAGGAGGGACGCACAUGGAAACAAUGAGGGAGAAAAAGGGCACCCGCAUAGCCAGCCUGAUCAGCUGAAUUAAUUCUGGCCAUCAAUGGGGUGACAGAUGUCACAGCCAGAUCACCCUCACAUCCUAAAAAAUGGAAAACAGGAAGCAUCAGUGAAUUUUGGGUGCUCCCGGCAAACUGCCUAAGAAGACGAGGGCAACAUCUUAGUGUGAGAUAAAGCAGAAAGCAGGAAGCACAGAGGAACCUAGUGGAAUGUGGGGUCAUUUUACCCACCAAAUCCAGAUUUGUAUGUAAAUAAGAAAUAAAUAUCUGUUUCAUUUAAGUCACAGUUAAUUUGAGUCUCUAUGAUACACAACGGAGGCUAAAUCCCAACAACUACAAGUAGAUUUAAAGCAAAUAAAUAAAUGGGAUAUUUCUUGCUUAUUUAAGUUUAUAGAUCAAAAUUCAUACCCCUUAGGUUUGUAACACAUUAUGGGAGCCACAAGGAAGCAGUGAUGCGUGUGCAAUAGGGGAGAAGUUUAUUACAGAGCUCAAAGAGAAAGAACAUUUAGACUGGGUUUUGCAGGACAAAUAAGAGUUUGCUAGACAGAGAAGAUAGGGCAAUCCUAGCAAAGUGAAUAGCUUGAACAAAGGAGUGAAGAGGAACUAUACAUGAUUUGGGUGAGAUGUCAACAAUGUAGACAGCCUGAGGUGGGGAAGGAAGGAGGGGACAGAAAAACCUGGUUGAUGCUCUACUGAAUAAGGCUUUGUAUGUAUGCCAUGUUAAGAUUUUUUUUAAAUGUUGCUGUUUGUUUUGUGUUUGAUUUUUGUUUUCUCAUAGAUAAUCUUUUUCUGAGUCAGGAAAACAAUAGGAUCAGAAUCUUGAUCUCUUUUAGAGAAUAACUGGUCGUAGUUUGGACACUAUAAAAGAGAGAAAAAGGCAGAAGCAGACAGGAAGCCCUCUAAGGAGGUGGUUGGCAUAAAAGGCAGGAGAGAAGGAGGAGUUGACUCAAGGCCACGAGAAUGAUAUAGGAAGGGGGUAAAAGAGGAGUCAUUUACUCUGGUUAUGAAUGUUCGUAUCUGCACAAAAGCUAGAAGCAAAUUAUCAUUUCAAGGUAGGCAUGAACAAAGGAUUUCUGCCCUUAAGGAGCUCAUCCUCUGUAGGGAGUAAAUUGGAAAGAUUCAAAUUUAUCUGCUAGGCAAGACUUAAGCAAAAGUAGGGUCUUCUUCAAAUCCACUCAAUUUGUUUGUUUGUUUGUUUGUUUAUUUAUUUAUUUUUGUGGUCAAACCCUGGAGCCACCCUUCUUAAGUUCUAGUAACCAAUUAAUCAUUCUCUUUGAGCUAUUAAUUGAUCUGAGGAUGCUAAAGCUAUAAGACAGAAAAUCAG
rnacentral:lncRNA from 1 species